rnacentral:rRNA from 1 species
UACGGAGGAUCCAAGCGUUAUCCGGAAUCAUUGGGUUUAAAGGGUCCGUAGGCGGUUUGGUAAGUCAGUGGUGAAAGCCCAUCGCUCAACGGUGGAACGGCCAUUGAUACUGCCAGACUUGAAUUAUUAGGAAGUAACUAGAAUAAUGUAGUGUAGCGGUGAAAUGCUUAGAGAUUACAUGGAAUACCAAUUGCGAAGGCAGGUUACUACUAAUGGAUUGACGCUGAUGGACGAAAGCGUGGGUAGCGAACAGG